CACGAACGCUGGCGGCGUGUUUAAGACAUGCAAGUCGCACGGUGUCAUUUUGGUAGCAAUACUUGGAUGGCACAGUGGCGCACGGGUGAGUAACACGUGAAUGACAUGCCCUUCAGAGGGGGAUAGCCCAGGGAAACUUGGAUUAAUACCCCAUGGUCUCGCGAGAGUAAAGGUGGCUGCAAGGCUGUCGCUGGAGGAUUGGUUCGCGUUCUAUCAGCUUGUUGGCGGGGUAACGGCCCACCAAGGCUACGACGGAUACCUGGGCUGAGAGGACGAUCAGGCACACUGGAACUGAGACACGGUCCAGACACCUACGGGUGGCAGCAGUCGAGAAUAAUUCACAAUGGGGGCAACCCUGAUGGUGCAACGCCGCGUGGAGGAUGAAGGUCUUCGGAUUGUAAACUCCUGUCAUCCGGGAGCAAGACCUGGCCGUGAAUAGCGGACAGGGUUGAUAGUACCGGAAGAGGAAGGGACGGCUAACUUCAUGCCAGCCGCCGCCGUAAUAC
rnacentral:rRNA from 1 species